rnacentral:rRNA from 1 species
UACAGAGGGGGCAAGCGUUGUUCGGAAUUACUGGGCGUAAAGGGCGCGUAGGCGGCCUGUUAAGUCGGACGUGAAAUCCCUCGGCUCAACCGGGGAACUGCGUCUGAUACUGGCGGGCUUGAAUUCGGGGGAGGGAUGUGGAAUUCCAGGUGUAGCGGUGAAAUGCGUAGAUAUCUGGAGGAACACCGGUGGCGAAGGCGGCAUCCUGGACCGACAUUGACGCUGAGGCGCGAAAGCCAGGGGAGCAAACGGG